GUCAGAAAUGUCCUUCUAUCUGUCUGUAAUUUAAGUCUUCCAUUUGGUCCCCUAGGGGAGUGUCGACCAGGUGGGAGACCUGCAUAAAUACGGGCAGGUAGCCCACAGUAAAACCAGAUCUUAUUUGACCCUCAAUGCGGAGCUUCUGUCUCGUUAUUGGGGGGAAUUGCUUCUUCACGUUUAGAGGCUGCUGGAUGGAACGAAAGCCGCUUUGGGG